CCUANGGGAGGCAGCAGUGGGGAAUUUUGGACAAUGGGCGAAAGCCUGAUCCAGCCAUACCGCGUGAGUGAAGAAGGCCUUCGGGUUGUAAAGCUCUUUCAGCCGGAAAGAAAUUGCUUCUAUUAAUACUAGGAGUAGAUGACGGUACCGGAAGAAGAAGCACCGGCUAACUACGUGCCAGCAGCCGCGGUAAUACGUAGGGUGCGAGCGUUAAUCGGAAUUACUGGGCGUAAAGCGUGCGCAGGCGGUUUUUUAAGUCAGAUGUGAAAUCCCCGGGCUCAACCUGGGAACUGCAUUUGAAACUGGAAGACUAGAGUAUAGCAGAGGGGGGUAGAAUUCCACGUGUAGCAGUGAAAUGCGUAGAUAUGUGGAGGAAUACCAAUGGCGAAGGCAGCCCCCUGGGUUAAUACUGACGCUCAUGCACGAAAGCGUGGGGAGCAAACAGGAUUAGAUACCCCUNUANUC
rnacentral:rRNA from 1 species